rnacentral:rRNA from 1 species
GUAAGGAAUAUUGCGCAAUGGAGGCAACUCUGACGCAGCCAUGCCGCGUGCAGGAAGAAGGCGCUACGCGUUGUAAACUGCUUUUAACCGGGAAGAAACCCCAGGACGUGUCCUGGGUUGACGGUACCGGAGGAAUAAGCACCGGCUAACUUCGUGCCAGCAGCCGCGGUAAUACGAAGGGUGCAAGCGUUAUCCGGAUUCAUUGGGUUUAAAGGGUGCGUAGGCGGAGCGUUAAGUCAGUGGUGAAAUCCUGCAGCUUAACUGUAGACUUGCCAUUGAUACUGGCGCUCUUGAGUGCGCUUGAAGUGGGCGGAAUGUGCCGUGUAGCGGUGAAAUGCUUAGAUAUGGCACAGAACACCAAUUGCGAAGGCAGCUCACUAAGGCGAUACUGACGCUGAGGCACGAAAGCGUGGGGAUCGAACAGGAUUAGAUACCCCAGUAGUCC